UCUGCUCCUGGAGACCUUGCAGGUGUGGGAGCUGUGUUACAUGUGUCAGUAGGUGGCAGAGAGAAUAGAUGCUAUGUCCAAGCUCAGUGUCCUGACCUGUGGACAUCUGAAUGAUCAGUAGCUUAACACU